rnacentral:rRNA from 1 species
GAUGAACGCUAGCGGCAGGCUUAAUACAUGCAAGUCGAGGGGCAGCAGGUCUGUAGCAAUACAGAUGCUGGCGACCGGCAAACGGGUGCGGAACACGUACAGAACCUUCCUUCGAGUGGGAGAUAGCCCAGGGAAACUUGGAGUAAUACCCCAUAGGAUAGUAGAGUGGCAUCACUCAGCUAUUAAAGAUUCAUCGUUCGAAGAUGGCUGUGCGGCUGAUUAGGUAGUUGGCGGGGUAACGGCCCACCAAGCCUUCGAUCAGUAACUGGUGUGAGAGCACGACCAGUCACACGGGCACUGAGACACGAGCCCGACUCCUACGGGAGGCAGCAGUAAGGAAUAUUGGGCAAUGGAGGCAACUCUGACCCAGCCAUGCCGCGUGGAGGAUGAAGGUCCUCUGGAUUGUAAACUUCUUUUAUUUGGGAAGAAAUGCUGACUUUCUAGUUGGUUUGACGGUACCAGAUGAAUAAGCACCGGCUAACUCCGUGCCAGCCGCCGCUGUAAAAC